AGAAAACAUAGCUGUAAACGGAAAUAAACAAACCAUGGAGUUUGUCCUGGACCCGAGCCAUCUGCUUGCAUCGCGAAAACCACGCGUCGCGCGACGCAAUGCUAGUAAAGUUUGCCAUCGCCACAAAACAGCAAAGCAAAACACAUGUUGGUAAAACAAACAACAACGGGGAUAACGGCUCGCCGGUCAACACCCUCGCUCGCGGUUCAGUUUCUAAAAACACAAAGGGGCUAAUGUCUCAACACAGCUACCAAACAUACACACCGCUAUAUGACUACUCCACAAUAACACAGUAGGAGUGCGCGCGCGCGGCGCCAGCGGGGGCACG
rnacentral:lncRNA from 1 species